AAGCGAGAGUUAAAAUGAUGAGCGACUCGGAAGCACAAGCGAGCGAGCAACAAAUUGAGAAUAAAAUCAACAAGGAAGUAGAAAAGUUAAAGUAUUGAUUUGGAAUUAACAAACCGAAGAGCCAAGAUUUGAGGGAAAUUGAAACAGUAAACAAGUGUACAAAGGCGAUUUUGGAUCAAAUAUAUAGCCUUGUUUCGACCGCUCAAAAGACGAAAGUUGAGCUGGGAAAAAGUACAUCACGGGAAAUUCGACAAUGGAAGAAAGAGGUAAGAGAUAGAUAUAUGCCAUGGUAAAUGAAAUGAAUAAACUGUCUGAUUUUCUGGCUAAAAUACAAGCAA